rnacentral:rRNA from 1 species
GCCAGCCCGCUCAGAAACUCAAAGGAAUUGACGGGGCCCGCACAAGCGGAGGAGCAUGUGGUUUAAUUCGAUGAUACGCGAGGAACCUUACCUGGGCUCGAACGUAAGAUGACUGUAGGUGAAAGCUUACAUCUCUUCGGAGCAUUUUACGAGGUGCUGCAUGGUUGUCGUCAGCUCGUGCCGUGAGGUGUCGGGUUAAGUCCCAUAACGAGCGCAACCCCUACCUUUAGUUGCCAUCAGGUUAAGCUGGGGACUCUAAAGGAACUGCCUACGCAAGUAGUGAGGAAGGCGGGGAUGACGUCAAAUCAGCACGGCCCUUACGUCCAGGGCUACACACGUGCUACAAUGGCCGAUACAGAGGGCAGCUACCUGGUGACAGGAUGCAAAUCUCCAAAGUCGGUCUCAGUUCGGAUCGGAGUCUGCAACCCGACUCCGUGAAGUUGGAUUCGCUAGUAAUCGCGCAUCAGCCAUGGCGCGGUGAAUACGUUCCCGGGCCUU